rnacentral:rRNA from 1 species
CCUACGGGGGGCAGCAGUGGGGAAUAUUGCGCAAUGGGCGAAAGCCUGACGCAGCGACGCCGCGUGAGGGAUGAAGGUCUUCGGAUCGGAAACCUCUGUCAGCAGGGAAGAACGGUCACUGUGCUAAUCAGCACUGAAUUGACGGUACCUGCAAAGGAAGCACCGGCUAACUCCGGCACAGCAGCCGCGGUAAUACGGAGGGUGCGAGCGUUAAUCGGAAUUACUGGGCGUAAAGCGCUCGUAGGCGGUAUGUCAAGUCAAGGGUGAAAUCCCCACGCUCAACGUGGGAACUGCCUUUGAAACUGGCAAGCUAGAGAGUGUGAGAGGAUAGUGGAAUUCCAGGUGUAGGAGUGAAAUCCGUAGAUAUCUGGAGGAACAUCAGUGGCGAAGGCGACUAUCUGGCACAUAACUGACGCUGAGGAGCGAAAGCGUGGGUAGCAAACAGGAUUAGAUACCCGGGUAGUC